GAUGAAGAACGCAGCAAAAUGCGAUAAGUAAUGUGAAUUGCAGAAUUCAGUGCAUCAUCGAAUCUUUGAACGCACAUUGCGCCCGCUGGUAUUCCGGCGGGCAUGCCUGUUCGAGCGUCAUUUCAACCCUCAAGCCCCCGGGUUUGGUGUUGGGGAUCGGCUCUGCCCUUCUGGGCGGUGCCGCCCCCGAAAUACAUUGGCGGUCUCGCUGCAGCCUCCAUUGCGUAGUAGCUAACACCUCGCAACUGGAACGCGGCGCGGCCAUGCCGUAAAACCCCAACUUCUGAAUGUUGACCUCGGAUCAGGUAGGAAUACCCGCUGAACUUAAGCAUAUCAAUAAGCGGAGGA
rnacentral:misc_RNA from 1 species